CAUUUUGAGAAAUAACACAUUUUCACCGCAAUGGAAGAACAAAACAACAAACUACGGAGGUGAUCUUCCACUGAACUUGGGGAAGCAGUUAUAUGGUUUGAAGUAAUAUUUCAAGACAUGUUGCAACAUGACGUGAUGGCGAUGAUGUGACAAUGACCAAGACGUUAACAACAACGGUCAUAAACGGAAGCUUGUCAAUAUUAUUAUGUCAGAGCAGUAUUCGUAUCAUCGGACUCUAAUGUGAUUUAUGAACUUUCCAACUCAGCAUCGUACAACUUGGACCCUGAUCCACUGCAUCCGAGGACUCGUACGGACCACAGUGUGACGUUCCUUGCUACUCCGUAUGUCUUCCCGCCCACUGUCC